GAAAUAUGAUAUUCAAGAACAAGCUUCUAACUUAGUUCUUAAGCGAUGAAAUCUCGUUUAUAUUUCU
rnacentral:tRNA from 1 species